GAUGAACGCUAGCGGCAGGCUUAAUACAUGCAAGUCGAGGGGCAGCAGGACUGUAGCAAUACAGUUGCUGGCGACCGGCAAACGGGUGCGGAACACGUACGCAACCUACCCAAAACUGGGGGAUAGCCCGGGGAAACCCGGAUUAAUACCUCGUAACCUUUUUAAGUGGCAUCACUUGAUAAGUAUAGCUCCGGCGGUUUUGGAUGGGCGUGCGCCUGAUUAGGUAGUUGGUGCGGGUAACGGCCCACCAAGCCUGCGAUCAGUAACUGGUGUGAGAGCACGACCAGUCACACGGGCACUGAGACACGGGCCCGACUCCUACGGGAGGCAGCAGUAAGGAAUAGUGAUCAAUGGACGCAAGUCUGAACCAGCCAUGCCGCGUGAAGGAUGAAGGUCCUCUGGAUUGUAAACUUCUUUUAUGGGGGACGAAACCCGGAUAUUCUUAUCCGAUUGACGGUACCUCAGGAAUAAGCACCGGCUAACUCCGUG
rnacentral:rRNA from 1 species